rnacentral:rRNA from 1 species
CUACGGGUUGCUCCAGUGGGGAAUAUUGCACAAUGGGGGAAACCCUGAUGCAGCGAUGCCGCGUGAACGAAGAAGGCUUUCGAGUCGUAAAGUUCUGUUCUUAGGGAAGAAAAUGACGGUACCUAAGGAGAAAGCGCCGGCUAAAUACGUGCCAGCAGCCGCGGUAAUACGUAUGGUGCAAGCGUUGUCCGGAAUUACUGGGCGUAAAGAGUUCGUAGGCGGUCAAAUAAGUCAGGAGUGAAAGGCUACGGCUCAACCGUAGUGAGCUUUUGAAACUGUUUGACUUGAGUACUGGAGAGGAAAGUGGAAUUCCUAGUGUAGCGGUGAAAUGCGUAGAUAUUAGGAGGAACACCAGUGGCGAAGGCGGCUUUCUGGACAGUAACUGACGCUGAGGAACGAAAGCGUGGGGAGCAAACAGGAUUAGAUACCCCUGUAGUC